CUUUGGUCCAUUCUGGGUCAAGAGAGCUAGAAGUCAAGUUAUACGUUACGGUGUGUUGUUUACGUGCUUGGUCAGCAGAGCAAUACACAUAGAAGUUGCUCAGAGUAUAGACACUGAUGCGUUUGUGAAUUCUAUGCGUCGCUUCAUUGCAAGGCGAGGUGUCCCUGAAGUUAUGAAGUCAGACAAUGGUUCAAAUUUUGUCAGUGGAAACAAGGAGCUCUGUGAAGCGAUCUCUGAGUGGAAUCAGAGUCAGAUCCACGAGUUCCUGUUGUAAAGAAACAUCAAGUGGCUGUUUAACCCACCAUCUGGAUCCCAUUUCGGUGGCGUCUGGGAGCGUUGUAUUAGAACUGUAAGAAAGAUCCUGGUCGCGCUUAUCAAGGAGCAACCGCUCGAUGAUGAGGGAUUGACUACGCUUAUGUGCGAGGUUGAAGCUAUAGUUAACGGGCGUCCAAUAACUAAAUCGUCAGAUGACCCAUUGGACGCUGAAGCCCUCACCCCAAACCAUUUGUUGUUGCUUCGUCCGGGCUCAAAGCUUCCGCCUGGUGUGUUCGUGAAAGAGGACAGUUACUCGCGCAGAAGAUGGCGCUAAGUGCAAUAUUUGGCCAACACCUUCUGGAGAAGAUGGAUUAGAGAGUAUUUGCCACAGUUGCAAGAGAGACAGAAAUGGGUCUAUCCGUCAAGGACCUUUGCUGUUAAUGACGUUGUGCUUGUGGUCGACUCUAGAGUACCAAGAUCGUCCUGGCCUCUCGGUCGUGUUACCAGUGUACACAAGAGCAGCAAAGAUGAACGUGUCAGAAGUGUGACCGUCAAGACAAGAACCUCACUGUACGAUCGUACUGUUAACAAGAUUGUUCUUUUGGAAUCAGUGGAGAUGUCAGAGGACACGCAACUAUGAAUUGAACUUUGUACUUGUUUUAGUGAACUCUUAAGCGUAACGUUUUGCUCGUGUUAAGUUUCGUUAAAAUCUUCAGCUAUUGCCUCUGAUUUUAGGGGCCGGAAUGUUAGUUACAAAACGUAUCCAUUAGUUUUUGGUUAUUUCCAACUCCUGGUCCUCGGGGACUGGGUAACAGUGUUCGAAGUAUUAUGGUCUGGGCCAUGUGCUCGGUUAGUUUCACAAGCUAGUCAUCAACACAAAUUGUCCUUGGAUUUCUCUAUCACGAGCCAGCAAAGCUUUCAAACCAAAACCGCCGAAGCGGGGGGGCCAACAUCUCCUGCCACGGCAAAGCGAAAGUAAGGAGGAAGCUACAGUUCACAGUCACUUGAAGUUCACUGCAAGGUUCGAGUGCCAGUGUUUACCGCGGACAAAGGUCUGAAAGUGGACGUGAAACCAUCGAACGGCUGUGUGUGUCAUUCGUAAUCCAGGCGAAGGUGAGUAUUAAUAUUUUCAUUUCUCUUCAAAACAAAGUGCGUUUGGAAGUUAAUGUUUUUGGGUAAAGAAUAGUUUUCGAAAGGUACUGGAAAAAUUGUGGCCUAUUUGCCUUUUAUUGUGCCACAAGGGAUCAAAAUAUGUUUUAAAACUCUUUUUUAAUUAUUCAUCUAGUAAUUUUACUUUGACGAAAGCAAACAGAACGUUGCCGAAAAUUUAGUUUUUUUUGCAUGCAUUUACAUCAUUUUAUAGCAUUUUUAGAUCCAAAAAAAUGCACCAGUUAAAGUUUUGGAAAGAAUGAAUAAGACAUAGUUCUCUGUUUUGUUCUCUUGCUAAAUGCAUAAUAACAUUUUAUUCCGACCACGACAGUGCAAAACUGAGUAAUGUCGCAGAGAGCUAUCGCUCCAGCUAAAACCCAUCUCACUGCUGUGCCUGCAAAGCAGCGUUUGGAUGUCUCAGUAUUUAUUCCUCCUUAGAUCCUAAAAUUCUGUUAUUGACAUGUUUGAGGUCUUAAGAGCUCUUCGACAUCUGUUUGUCCUAUUUUGUGUCGCAAAUUAGCCCAUGUUGAGCUUGCUCUAUGGCAACGCUGAAUUUGACGUUAUUGCAAUUUUUUCUGAAAUUUGACGUCGGGUAAUGACCUAGAACAUCUCCGACUACCGCAAAAAUAAGAUAGUAUUAAUAUAAGAACCAACUUUGGUCUAGUAAUGUCUGUAGGGUGAAAAAAACAUACUAUUCUUAGCACCAAAUUAAAUUUGCCAUUUGAAUGUAAAGUUCUGCAACACUGCGUUUUUGAAUAACUCAAUACUCAGUUUCCGAGAAAUCAUCCUGGUAAUUACGUAUGCAAAAAGGUAAGAGACGUGAUAUGUUUGCUACAGGCAUAGACGUACUGUGUUACCUUUUAUCUAUUUUAGUAGAUCACUUAGGAUUUGCAUGAAAGUUUACGUUUAACUCGGAAGAAUUUGCCAUAUAUUUAUUUCAGCUGCUAAUUCAGUUUAGCCCCUUGCUAGGAUACGCUUGUGAUUACUACCCGAAAGAAAGACCGUGAUGUGGUCAGUCCGGUAUUAUGCCAGUUUUGGAAGAAGCGCAGACGUCGUGAUUCUAUUGUUUCGCCAAAAUUGCAAAAACAUAAUCGCGAAAAAAUAUGGGCUCUUAGAACAGCUUGGUUCUAGGUUCCAUCAUUCGAUAUUCGGGACUUUCAAAGUCUCAUUACAAGCAUUCGCUCAAACGUUCCUUUUGCGAGAGUUGUGAACGUUUGGCAGGGAAGGGAAUCAAUAAAGUCCGUGUGAUUUGAGAGCGACCUUCGAAGAAGACGCUGCCUUUUGACGGGCAUCGAAUGUAAGUGCAUGUUUUUAAUUUUCCUCGAGACUACAAUAUGUGAGUGUUGUGUCGCCAAAGUUUCAUCGGUGGCAAAAGGUUAGUAAAAAUGGCAACCACGUAUUGAAAAUAGCCGUCAUAAGAAAUGGUUUCUAACAGGAAAACGACUAGAAGUUUACAUACAAUGUAUCGCGAGUACUUCGAGUCUUUUUUUUUUCAUUUUCACACUAUAUUGCGUUAGUCUUGUUUACAAGAUGAGAGUCUGUUAUUCUGUGAUAGCUGAAUCAUGUAAGCUGAUUUAUGAAACGAGUUUUUUUAUCGGCAUGAGAAGGCUGGAAUUUGACUGAAAUGUAGGUUUGAUAAGGGGCACAUUGAACAUGCACAUGCACUGAUGCACAUUUCUACAUGGUGUAUGUCCCGUUUGGUCAAUGAUUAUUUCAUUCCUUGUUUCUUAUUUAUUAGGAUGUCCGUCCAAAAUAUGGACAACCAUUUAGAAGUGUUAAAAAGUUGUUGCCGUCUGCCGGACUUGGUCCAAUGAAAUAAGUUUUGUGAUCAAUGCAUUAUUUGUUUAAGUUAAAUUGCAUUUUAGCAUUGGCCCAGAUUAAACGGCACACAUACAGGGCUUUAGGAAUGUUAGAGUUCAGCCCUGAAAUAAGCAGUGCAUGCAUUCACAACAAUGCGGGGCAUCACACUGAAUUGUUUGAGAAGUCAAGCAAAAUAAAGGAAGGAAACACUCAUUCUAAACCAGCCAGGCAAAUUUUGGAAAACCUCUGCCAUCAGCAUUUUGUGAAGAAAGGGGAGAGAAAUCUCCUUCGGAGAAAAGUCCCAGUGUCCAAACUUCAUGUGUAUUUUUUCGCAAACCCCUUUUCAACUUAAGCUUUAACAUUACAACAAAAACAACACUCUGUGAUAAUUAUACUUUUAGUAAUUGUACUUAGAGGACAAUUAGGCUACUGACCAAUGGGGACACAUUUGAUACAUCACAAGCAGACUACUGUUCCUGGUUCUACUAACAUGUACACAGGCUAGCCAUGCCUCAAAGCCUUUAGCAGUAUUCCAAAACAUAUUCUGGUGUAGAGUGUGACCAAGUUCACAAGUAUUUUAUUUU
rnacentral:lncRNA from 1 species